ensembl:miRNA bta-mir-2393 bta-mir-2393
GGCAGAGGGGAGGAGAGGAGAAGAGACAUCUUAGAUUUUUUGUUUUCUUUUGCC